UACGUAGGGGGCAAGCGUUGUCCGGAAUCAUUGGGCGUAAAGCGCGCGUAGGCGGCCAACUAAGUCAGACGUGAAAUCCCCAGGCUUAACCUGGGAACUGCGUCUGAUACUGGAUGGCUAGAGUUUGGGAGAGGGAUGCGGAAUUCCAGGUGUAGCGGUGAAAUGCGUAGAUAUCUGGAGGAACACCGGUGGCGAAGGCGGCAUCCUGGACCGACACUGACGCUGAGGAGCGAAAGCCAGGGGAGCAAACGGG
rnacentral:rRNA from 1 species